rnacentral:misc_RNA from 1 species
UUUCCGUAGGUGAACCUGCGGAAGGAUCAUUAACGAGUUAGGGUCUUCCAGGCCCGACCUCCCAACCCUAUGUUUAUUGAACCUCUGUUGCUUCGGCGGACCCGCCUCACGGCCGCCGGAGGACCGCUGCAAGGCGUCCUCUGGCCAGCGUCCGCCGAUGGCCAACCACUUAAACUCUGAAUGAAUCGUGUCAUAUGUCUAAGUCUAUGAUCAAAUUAAAGCAAAACUUUCAACAACGGAUCUCUUGGUUCUG